rnacentral:rRNA from 1 species
CGGCGGGUGCUAACGUCCGUCGUGAAGAGGGAAACAACCCAGACCGCCAGCUAAGGUCCCAAAGUCAUGGUUAAGUGGGAAACGAUGUGGGAAGGCCCAGACAGCCAGGAUGUUGGCUUAGAAGCAGCCAUCAUUUAAAGAAAGCGUAAUAGCUCACUGGUCGAGUCGGCCUGCGCGGAAGAUGUAACGGGGCUAAACCAUGCACCGAAGCUGCGGCAGCGACGCUUAUGCGUUGUUGGGUAGGGGAGCGUUCUGUAAGCCUGUGAAGGUGGCCUGUGAGGGUUGCUGGAGGUAUCAGAAGUGCGAAUGCUGACAUAAGUAACGAUAAAGCGGGUGAAAAGCCCGCUCGCCGGAAGACCAAGGGUUCCUGUCCAACGUUAAUCGGGGCAGGGUGAGUCGACCCCUAAGGCGAGGCCGAAAGGCGUAGUCGAUGGGAAACAGGUUAAUAUUCCUGUACUUGGUGUUACUGCGAAGGGGGGACGGAGAAGGCUAUGUUGGCCGGGCGACGGUUGUCCCGGUUUAAGCGUGUAGGCUGGUUUUCCAGGCAAAUCCGGAAAAUCAAGGCUGAGGCGUGAUGACGAGGCACUACGGUGCUGAAGCGACAAAUGCCCUGCUUCCAGGAAAAGCCUCUAAGCAUCAGGUAACAUCAAAUCGUACCCCAAACCGACACAGGUGGUCAGGUAGAGAAUACCAAGGCGCUUGAGAGAACUCGGGUGAAGGAACUAGGCAAAAUGGUGCCGUAACUUCGGGAGAAGGCACGCUGAUAUGUAGGUGAAGCGACUUGCUCGUGGAGCUGAAAUCAGUCGAAGAUACCAGCUGGCUGCAACUGUUUAUUAAAAACACAGCACUGUGCAAACACGAAAGUGGACGUAUACGGUGUGACGCCUGCCCGGUGCCGGAAGGUUAAUUGAUGGGGUUAGCGG